rnacentral:rRNA from 1 species
GACGAACGCUGGCGGCGUGCUUAACACAUGCAAGUCGAACGAAGUGGCGAACGGGUGAGUAACGCGUAAUCAACCUGCCCUUCAGAGGGGGACAACAGUUGGAAACGACUGCUAAUACCGCAUACGGAAGGAGGGGAUUGCGUCUGAUUAGCUAGUUGGAGGGGUAACGGCCCACCAAGUCGAUGAUCAGUUGCCCGUCUGGUGGGAUGAACUGCCACAACUGGACUGAGACAAGGCCCAGACGCCCACGGGAGGCAGCAGUGGGGGAUCUUCGGAAAUGGGCGGAAGUCUUACGGAGCAACGGCGCGGGAGUGAUGACGGGCUUCGGGUUGUAAAGCUCUGUUAAUCGGGACGCGGUACCGGAAUAGAAAGCAACGGCUAACUACGUGCCAGCAGCCGCGGUAAUUC